UGGCUCAUUGGUUAAAGCAGUUGAUUUCUGAUCAACAGAUCGCGAGUUCGAGUCUCGG
rnacentral:tRNA from 1 species